rnacentral:rRNA from 1 species
UACGGAGGGGGCUAGCGUUGUUCGGAAUUACUGGGCGUAAAGCGUACGUAGGCGGCUUUGUAAGUUAGAGGUGAAAGCCCGGGGCUCAACUCCGGAAUUGCCUUUAAGACUGCAUCGCUUGAAUCAUGGAGAGGUGAGUGGAAUUCCGAGUGUAGAGGUGAAAUUCGUAGAUAUUCGGAAGAACACCAGUGGCGAAGGCGACUCACUGGACAUGUAUUGACGCUGAGGUACGAAA